UAAGUGGACGACUCGAUAGUGUGUGAUUUUUCAAUGGAAAUAUGUGCAUAGUGUAAUAGUGAUGGUUAAGUGAUUGAUCAUCAGCAGUGAUUUAAAGUCGGAGCAGCGGAGUUGCGGCAAAAACCGUCGAAAAGAACAACAUUGCCGCGGAAUGGUUGGGAAGGACGAAAUCCUCGGUGUGGACAGUAGACCGCGUCCACGAGGCGCAAUCACGAGCACGGUCCAUUGGCAUUGGCCGGUGGUCCAAUUAGCGCAGCAUCCGAUAAACGAACUCGCGGCAGGGUGGCUGUGCAAUUGCUGGCUGACCGAUGAUUCUGCCGACGACAGUUACUAUCUGGAAUUCGCCGCUUUCCGUCAAACGACCAGGAGCCACGGACCGAGGCUGUACAGUUACCCGUUGCAUGGCGACAAAGCGCGCUUUUAAAACGCGGCCGUCGCGCUCUGCACGCAACCCUUCUUCUUCUUGCUCUGUCAUUGCCCGACGCUUUGCCCCUGUUUCGGACUUCAUCGUGUCGCUUCGAUCGUUCUACGUUGUUUCGGGGUAAAUGUGGCAGAAUGUCGGUUUAUGCAGGUGUAUAUGAUAUUUGAUAAAAGAAUUCCUAGGUAUCAUUCGUACCGAUAGGAGUAGUGUAUGAAUGUUAGAUUUGAAGACAUGGGAAAUUUGAAUCUUUCUGCUAAGAAUUAUGUUCCGCUUAUGUUUUCUCAAGCUCUAUCAGGCUGCGUUAUUAGCGCGUAGCUUUAACCAACUUGCCCUUAUUUGUCAAUAAUUGACAACAAAUGACGCUUAUAUGGUAGCAGCAACUAUUAACAUAUAACUUGACAUAUUACAAAUGACGCCAAUGUGGUCUCAGCGGCGAUCAAAGUGUUAAUUGAGUUGUCACCGUUUUGAGAACACGUCUUUUAUAUUUCAUAUUGCGAUUCAUCGUCGUGAGUAAUUUCAGACAAUAGAAGGUUUCGAUAUACUGUUGGAGAAAUUGGUACGAACGUUUCAGCUUUGAACCACCAAACUUGAAAAUAAGACAGCGACAGCUACGAUCGAAAUUCGAACAGCCACAAAUAUGUCCUCCAAUCAUUGUGCAAGUUUAAGAUUUAGAAUUCUUAAAGAUUUCUUAAUAAUUCCCUAAUAUAUCUCUUCUAGUUUUGACGAAUAUUUAGGUACGUAAUUUUAUUAUCGAUGGAAGAAAACUAGGUUUUGUAAAUAUUUCUCACGUUAGGAUAAUUACAGGUGACACUGAGAACUGCCAACUUGGCAAAUCAACAAAUAUGUAAAUAAUUUUCCUAGUUUUGUUAUUCGUAGGAG
rnacentral:misc_RNA from 1 species